UGUCAAGGGAUGGGAAUCGAACCCACGACCUUCCGCUUACCAGGCUUACCUAGGCUACCCUGGAC